GACGAACGCUGGCGGCGUGCCUAAUACAUGCAAGUCGAACGCAGUGGGGACGGGUGAGUAACACGUGGGUAACCUCCCAUCAGAGGGGAUAACACUUGGAAACCGGUGCUAAACCGAUACUGAUGGAUGGACCCGCGGUGCAUUAGCUAGUUGGUGAGGUAACGGCUCACCAAGGCCACGAUGCAUAGCCGACCUGGGAGGUGGAUCGGCCACACUGGUACUGAGACACGGCCCAGACUCCUACGGGAGGAAGCAUUAGUGAAUCGUGGCAAAUGGACGAAAGUCUGACCGAGCAACGCCGCGUGAUUGAAGAAGGAUUUCGGAUCGUAAAACUCUGGGGUCAGAGAAGCGGUAUCUAACCAGAAGGCCACGACUAACAACGUUCCAGCAGCCGCGGUAAUAC
rnacentral:rRNA from 1 species